GAGUAUUACUCAGCAUUGUUAUUCUUUACAGAUAAUAAUGACUUAUGAGUGGACUUAGUUAACUCACUCAGGAUGGUCUUUUCUAGUCCCAUACAUUUUCUGGCAAAUUUCAUGAUGUCAUUGUUUUUUUUGUUUGUUUGUUUGUUUUUGUUUUUGUUUUUGUUUGUUUGUUUUUUGUUUUUUGUUUUUUGUUUUUUUGCAGUUCUGCAACUUUAUUUGACAUGAGUAGGUUAGUUCUCAUCCACAUUGACCGUCUGUAGAUUUUUGAAUGUGGUAACAGGCACGUAAGUUACCAGCGUGUAGAGCUUGUUUGGGGAAUCCUCAUCCUCAUUACGUUUUCUGGACAAGCGUACUCGGAUGCGAUAUGGAACAUUCCUUAUUCCCUUGGCCCAGACGGCUUUAUUGAGCCUGGUGUCAAUGCGCACAUCUGGUGUCCCCAUUUCCUUCAUGGCAAACUUCCGAAUUUCUUUGAGUGCCCGAGGAGCACGCUUCUUGAAGCCCACUCCAUGGAUGCGCUUGUGAAUGUUGAUGGUGUAUUCUCGGGUCACCACCUCGUUGAUGGCAGAACGGCCCUUCUUCUUCUCGCCACCCUUCUUUGCGGGAGCCAUUCUGCUGGGCCCAAGUAGGAAAGGAAGGGCGCGAGGGUUUGUGGGAAGGAAAGUCGCGUAGCCGUACAACUUCCGGGUCACAGGGAGGCGGGGCGAUGUCAUUGUUUUUAAUAGGUGAGUAGUAUUCCAAUAGAUGAGUAAUAUUCCAUUGUGUAAAGGUAGAGCAUCUUCUUUAUCCAUUCUAUUGUUGAGGGACACCUAGUUUAUUUCCAGUUUCUGGCUACUAGUAAUAAAGCUGCCAUGAAUGUAGUUGUACAAGUGUCCUUGUUUUAUGAUUUUUUGGGUAUAUGCCCAGGAGUGGUAAAGCUGGGUCUUAAGGAAGAUCAAGGUGGGUAAUGGUUCUGGACAUUUCUUUAAGUGAUUCUCUGCCACUUGAGGUUCCUCUGUUGAGAAUUCUAUGCUUAGAUCUAUACUCCAUUUUUAAUUAGAUUAUUUAGUUUAUCGAUAUCUAGUUUCUUGAGUUCUUCAUAUAUUUUGGUAAUCAGCUUGCUGUCAGAUGUGGGAUUGGGGAAGAUCUUUUUUCAUUCUCUAGGCUUCCAUUUUGUCCCAUUGAUGGUGUCCUUUUUCUUAUAGAAGCUUUUCAGUUUGGGGAGGUCCCCUUUACUUAUUGUUGGUCUUAGUAAGUAUGCAAUGGGUCUUCUGUUCAGGAAGUUGUCUCCUGUGAUAAUGUAUCCAUGGCUAUUUCCCUCUUUCUUGUCUAUAUAGUUUAAUAUAUCUAGUUUAAUGUUGAGGUCUUUGAUCCACUUCAACUUGAGUUUUGUACAGGGCGAUAGAUUUAGAUGUAUUUUCAUUCUUCUUCAUGCUGACAUCCAGUUAGACUAGUGCCAUUUGUUGAAGAUGCUUUCUUUUUUUUUUUUUUUUUCCAUUGUAUAAUUUUGGCUCUUUGGCAAAAAUCAAGUAAGUAUUCAUUGGUGUGUAAGUUUACUCCUGUGUUUUUGUUUCUAUUCUAUUGACCAACCUGUCUAAGUUUAUGCCAAUAAAAAUCCACAGAAUCAACUAAACUUGUCUCACAGGGGAUCACAGAGACUGAUCCGCCAAAUAGAGAGCCUAUAUAGGACUAAUGUAGGCACUCUGAACAUAAUAUGUUACAGUUGUAUAACUUCCUCUUGUGAUACUCCUAUGAAUGGGAGCAGUCUCCGUUCUCUGACUCUUUUGCCUGCAUUUAAGCCCCUUCUUCCUGGGGUUCCUCUUUCACCCUUAAUAUUAGAAAAGGUUCCUAGUCUCCCUGCCACUUGAUAUGGUAGUUAAUAUCCAUGGGAAGUCUGGCCCUUUCUAAAGAGAAGCAGAACAGUGGAUGGGGUGGGAGGACAAAAGGGGACCUGGGAGGAGAGGAGAGAGGGAAACUGUGGAUAAGAUAUAAAAAAAA
rnacentral:lncRNA from 1 species